rnacentral:rRNA from 1 species
CCUACGGGGAGCUGCAGUGGGGAAUAUUGGACAAUGGGCGAAAGCCUGAUCCAGCCAUGCCGCGUGUGUGAAGAAGGCCUUCGGGUUGUAAAGCACUUUCAGUGGGGAAGAAAGCCUUGGGGCUAAUACCCUCGAGGAAGGACAUCACCCACAGAAGAAGCACCGGCUAACUCCGUGCCAGCAGCCGCGGUAAUACGGAGGGUGCGAGCGUUAAUCGGAAUUACUGGGCGUAAAGCGCGCGUAGGCGGUCUGAUAAGCCGGUUGUGAAAGCCCCGGGCUCAACCUGGGAACGGCAUCCGGAACUGUCAGGAUAGAGUGCAGGAGAGGAAGGUAGAAUUCCCGGUGUAGCGGUGAAAUGCGUAGAGAUCGGGAGGAAUACCAGUGGCGAAGGCGGCCUUCUGGACUGACACUGACGCUGAGGUGCGAAAGCGUGGGUAGCAAACAGGAUUAGAUACCCCAGUAGUC